CCCCACCGCCCGCCCCUUUCCACAAAUGCCACCAAUCAAGCCAUUUCUUUCUCAAGGGGAACUGAGUGAUUUGCAGGGUUUGGGGAAGGUUGCCUGUGCCUAAAGCAUCAUUCCGUCCCACUCUGGUAAGAUUCAUAACUAGCAUGAUUUGGGGGCUUAUCCUAGUGGGAGACUUUGAGAAGGAAAUCAACGUCUUCAAGGGGAAGCAGGUGGAAACACCUUGAGAUAGAUAUCUCCCCAGUCAGGCCAGGCUGGGCAGGGGGAGGCAGAAACAGAAAACAGAAUGAGUGUUCUGGGCAUCCUGCAGUGUGGGGGUCUGUAGUGCCAGCACCAAAGGGGCAACUGAGCUCAGGGCAGAGACAGGAGAACAGCAUCACGUAUUAUUGAUCACGUUACUUUGAAAAUUAUUUUAGAAGUUAGUGUUGUUCUUUUUAUUAUUAUUAGCAAUAUGGAAGGCACUUAAGGACAAAAUUUACUCAGCAACUUUUAGCAGAUAUUUAUUAAACACCGCAACGUACCAAGCAAUGAACAGAAUGAACAAGAAUCCCUGCCUUUAUGGAGUUUGCAAUCUCAUGGAGAUAAGUAACAGCCACCACGUGGCACUGAGAACACGCCAGCCACUGUGCUGAACACGUUUUACACAUUAAUUCAUGAAUCCUUCACAUAACACUGUGAGCUAGACUUUGCUAUUAUCCUCGUUUGGCAAAUGAGGAACCAACUGAGAGUAGAGAAGUUAAGCCUCUUGCCCCAACUCACCCAAGUGGUAGACCUGGGGCUUGAACCCAAGCCUCGUGGCUGUGCUACACCGUAACAUUUUCUGAUGUCACAAUUGGCCAAAUUUGCAAAUUUGAAUACCAUAUAUACCACCUUAAAACCUACUGGGAUGUGGUAUAAAUAGAACCCACUCCCAACAAUAGAAAAUCACAUGAGGGAAGUGGAGAGGGAGGGUCUACACAGAGAGAACUUCAGAGUGGCAGUAACCAUCUAGCUGUUCCGGUAAAAUAUGACCCAGGCAAGGAUUGACACCUCUGAGCUCCAGUUUCCAUAUAUUUUCUUCACGAAGAGAAAAGUCCCAUUGCAGCCAUUUGACAGCACCAUUAUGACAUUCUAUAGACAAUAAAUAUGAAGAUGCUUUGUAAACUGAACCAAUGCAAAUAAUUAGUAGAAUCUGAAACAGACUUACUUUUGCUUUUGUUUGUUUGAGCACACAAGUGCCGUAUACAUUCCACAAGCCUCACAUUCACCCUGUGCUGACUCUUCACAUUCAUUUCCACAACUGGGGAACUAAGGUUCAGGGAGAUAAACAACCUGCUCAGUGUUGGACAGUGGGAAUUCUCCUAUUGCCUCAUUUUUAUACAUUUCCCAGAUCGAUGAUGAAUACAUACAUUUAAUAUAUACUUCACUAAAGUAGAAAACCUACUCUUUGUUGAGCCACUCUGUAUACCAAGCAUAGUGAAGUAUCUUUGUGUAUCUCAUUUAAUCCUUGCAACAGCUUUCUCAGGACUCAGGAUGGGCAACAGCUCAUCUCUGCUUGGUGCUGUGCACGGAGCUCGACUAUCCUGAAUCCACCAUGAUUCGACCUCAUGUCAGUCCUUUGGCUGCCAGCCCAGUUCAACUCCAAGCUGAUGACCAGUGUCGACCGCCAGUCAUUCUGAACAUUUGACCAGUUGAGCUUUCAAAUGAUGGCAGUCCUGGCUGACAUUUUGGGUGAACAAUAUGAGAGACUGACUGGUUGAGCCCUUCCCAAAUUUCUGACCCACAACAUUGUGAGAAAAAUAAUCUUAAGCCUCUCAGUUUGGGGACAAUUUGUUACUCAGCAAUAGAAAUGAAAAUAUGAUCUCAGUAGGACCAUGUGACUUGCAGCAACCAGGGUGACAAUGAACGUCCCUGCAGAUACCCGAGGAGGGGACGCAUGAAGGUUCCCUAGGUGCCCUGUAAAUCUACAGCUUCCUGCUUUCCUCUGCCACAAACACAUGACACGCUGUACCUCUACACCUAAUCUUUUGGUUUGGAAAGGAACGGAAGGUGAUAGAAAUCUGAAAGUUGCGACUGAGGUUUACCAUCCUAAACACAUUAUUUCAGGAGACUAACUCCAAGAUGAUUGGCAUGAACUAGAAUUUUUCUCCCCUUUCUUAUAAAGCAAAUGGGACAGCUCAGGAGGAAGAUCGGAGCAGUUAUAUACAAAAAAUUAACACACAAAUGAAGCAACCACGUGGCCUCUGUGUAUAUGGAGAAAAGUGUGAGCAAAUGUGGGGCCCUAAUACAGAAUGUCAGCCAGGAAGACGAGGAAGGCAGACCUCCCUAGAACAGUGGUACAAGACAUUGGUGGUCAUCUUAACAGAUGUGCACUGACUGAUAUCCUUCAGAAUAGGAAGGAAAUGUGAGAUCUUAAGAAGGAAUUCUAGGGGAGGUCUCAGCUUUACCCCCUGUGACUUGCACUUGGUCAGUAUACAACUUAUUCUUCCCACCAGAGUGAUAGAAAGAAAAAAAGAAACUGAGUUCUGUAUGUUGAGAAAUAUCAUCU
rnacentral:lncRNA from 1 species